rnacentral:rRNA from 1 species
UACGUAGGGGGCAAACGUUACUCGGAAUUACUGGGCGUAAAGGGUGUGUAGGUGGCUGAGUAAGUCAAAGAUGAAAUCCCGUGGCCUAACUGCGGAACUGUCUUUGAGACUGCUCGGCUUGAGGAUAGUGGAGGAGAAUGGAAUUCCCGGUGGAGCGGUGAAAUGCGUAGAUAUCGGGAGGAACACCCGAGGCGUAAGCGAUUCUCUAAGCUAUUCCUGACACUGAAACACGAAAGCUAGGGGAGCGAACGGG